rnacentral:rRNA from 1 species
AUGAACGCUGGCGGCGUGCUUAACCCCUGCCAGUCGAACGAUGAAGCCCAGCUUGCUGGGUGGAUUAGUGGCGAACGGGUGAGUAACACGUGAGUAACCUGCCCUUAACUCUGGGAUAAGCCUGGGAAACUGGGUCUAAUACCGGAUAGGAGCGUCCACCGCAUGGUGGGUGUUGGAAAGAUUUAUCGGUUUUGGAUGGACUCGCGGCCUAUCAGCUUGUUGGUGAGGUAAUGGCUCACCAAGGCGACGACGGGUAGCCGGCCUGAGAGGGUGACCGGCCACACUGGGACUGAGACACGGCCCAGACUCCUACGGGAGGCAGCAGUGGGGAAUAUUGCACAAUGGGCGCAAGCCUGAUGCAGCGACGCCGCGUGAGGGAUGACGGCCUUCGGGUUGUAAACCUCUUUCAGUAGGGAAGAAGCGAAAGUGACGGUACCUGCAGAAGAAGCACCGGCUAACUACGUG